rnacentral:rRNA from 1 species
GAUGAACGCUGGCGGCGUGCCUAAUACAUGCAAGUCGAGCGAAUGGAUUAAGAGCUUGCUCUUAUGAAGUUAGCGGCGGACGGGUGAGUAACACGUGGGUAACCUGCCCAUAAGACUGGGAUAACUCCGGGAAACCGGGGCUAAUACCGGAUAACAUUUUGAACCGCAUGGUUCGAAAUUGAAAGGCGGCUUCGGCUGUCACUUAUGGAUGGACCCGCGUCGCAUUAGCUAGUUGGUGAGGUAACGGCUCACCAAGGCAACGAUGCGUAGCCGACCUGCGAGGGUGAUCGGACACACCGGGACUGAGACACGGCCCAGACUCCUACGGGAGGCAGCAGUAGGGAAUCUUCCGCAAUGGACGAAAGUCUGACGGAGCAACGCCGCGUGAGUGAUGAAGGCUUUCGGGUCGUAAAACUCUGUUGUUAGGGAAGAACAAGUGCUAGUUGAAUAAGCUGGCACCUUGACGGUACCUAACCAGAAAGCCACGGCUAACUACGUGCCAGCCGCCGCUGUAA